rnacentral:misc_RNA from 1 species
AAAAAACAAUUAUUCGAUUCGAUUCUUACUUUUCCUUUUUUCUCAAGAAAUGAACCAAAAAGAUUGAAUUUCUUAAAAUAAAAAACUAAACCUAAUCAAUUUACCAAGAAAAUCGAACCAAAAUUUUGAAUUAAAUCGCUUCGGUCGGUUUUUCAAUUUGAACUGAAUUCUAGUCACCUCUACAUGCAUGCCUACUUUCAAAUAAAUUGAAUAUAGAUAAGUUUUCUUAUGUAAUAGAACAAUUUGACCUUGAAUUAUAUUUAAUAAAAUAUUCAGUCUUAAAGAAAACUUUUGAGAUGACGAGCAUUAAAUGUAACAGUCAAUUUACAAAAAUAUGAAUCGCUGGAAAAAUUAUGGGACUGUAGAA